rfam:Schistosoma rodhaini strain Burundi genome assembly, scaffold: SROB_scaffold0006183
AUAAGCUGAUGAGUCCCAUAUAGGACGAAACGCGCGUCCUGGAU